GUGGGGAAUCUUAGACAAUGGGCGCAAGCCUGAUCUAGCCAUGCCGCGUGAGCGAUGAAGGCCUUAGGGUUGUAAAGCUCUUUCAGCUGGGAAGAUAAUGACGGUACCAGCAGAAGAAGCCCCGGCUAACUCCGUGCCAGCAGCCGCGGUAAUACGGAGGGGGCUAGCGUUGUUCGGAAUUACUGGGCGUAAAGCGCACGUAGGCGGAUCAGAAAGUCAGAGGUGAAAUCCCAGGGCUCAACCUUGGAACUGCCUUUGAAACUCCUGAUCUUGAGGUCGAGAGAGGUGAGUGGAAUUCCGAGUGUAGAGGUGAAAUUCGUAGAUAUUCGGAGGAACACCAGUGGCGAAGGCGGCUCACUGGCUCGAUACUGACGCUGAGGUGCGAAAGCGUGGGGAGCAAACAGGAUUAGAAACCUGGGUAGUCC
rnacentral:rRNA from 1 species